CGAGCACGCCGCGUGAGUGAGAAGGUUUUCGGAUCGUAAAGCUCUGUUGUUAAGGAAGAACGAGUGUGAAAAUGGAAAGUUCAUACUGUGACGGUACUUAACCAGAAAGGGACGGCUAACUACGUGCCAGCAGCCGCGGUAAUACGUAGGUCCCGAGCGUUGUCCGGAUUUAUUGGGCGUAAAGCGAGCGCAGGCGGUUAGAAAAGUCUGAAGUGAAAGGCAGUGGCUCAACCAUUGUAGGCUUUGGAAACUGUUUAACUUGAGUGCAGAAGGGGAGAGUGGAAUUCCAUGUGUAGCGGUGAAAUGCGUAGAUAUAUGGAGGAACACCGGUGGCGAAAGCGGCUCUCUGGUCUGUAACUGACGCUGAGGCUCGAAAGCGUGGGGAGCGAACA
rnacentral:rRNA from 1 species